rnacentral:rRNA from 1 species
GGCCAGACUCCUACGGGAGGCAGCAGUGGGGGAUAUUGCACAAUGGGGGGAACCCUGAUGCAGCGACGCCGCGUGGGUGAAGGAGCGUUUCGGCGCGUAAAGCCCUAUCGGCAGGGAAGAAGGAGGACGGUACCUGACUAAGAAGCCCCGGCUAACUACGUGCCAGCAGCCGCGGUAAUACGUAGGGGGCAAGCGUUAUCCGGAUUUACUGGGUGUAAAGGGAGCGCAGGCGGCAUGGCAAGUCUGAUGUGAAAACCCGGGGCCCAACCCCGGGAGUGCAUUGGAAACUGCCAGGCUGGAGUGUCGGAGGGGUAAGCGGAAUUCCUAGUGUAGCGGUGAAAUGCGUAGAUAUUAGGAGGAACACCAGUGGCGAAGGCGGCUUACUGGACGACUACUGACGCUGAGGCUCGAAAGCGUGGGGAGCAAACAGGAUUAGAUACCCGUGUA